GGGCUCGAUAAUCUAAAAAUUCGACCGCGUUAAAUACAAUUCGCCGAUGACCGACGACCAAUAGUACGAUAACAGCGGCCAGCGAUAUCGCUGUAGCUAAUUAAUUCGAGCCAGCCUUGAACUCUCAGCGUUAACCAGAACAAAGAUCGCGCGUAGAUGUCUUAAAAGCGAAUCCCGUUCGAGAUUCGCACGGAUCGUCGAUGUAGGAGCGCCCCGGCCUUUGCGACGCGAUUAGGAAAACUCGUUAUCUCCCGCUGUAUGAGGAAGAAAGAUUUAUCUCGUUGUUUACUAAACACCGUGUCUCGAGUUAAUAGGAAUCGCGGAACGAAGUUUACAAACUCCUGCCCCAGCCUUUCGAGAUAUACGCACGAAUAAUACACAAAAUCGCCGCACGCCCCGGCCUUUUUUUUAUUUAUUUUAUUAUCCUCUUUCGUUCCGUGAUAGUAAACCGUUUCAUUCAUGCUCUGCCCGCCGCUAGAGAAUGUUUAUUAUGAUGUCGGGGGCGAAAGGAGAUAGAUAGGCUCGACCGAGAAGAAAUUCACCGACGUUUCGUGCGACCUGAACAGACUAAGGAUCUUAUACGCUCAAGCUUGGAUCACGAGAAACAGAGGAGGAUCUCUGACACCAAAAGUUGAGAAACGAAGCCAGUUCCUGGAUCUUACAGCCACUUUCCAAGAACGAUCACAUCUACAGUCCCGACAACUGCUGACCUGCUAUAGGACUUGGACCCACGACUGCGUUUGAAACAAGUCGCCAAACAACCGACACUUUUUAAAUAAUUAAUUAUUCUUGAAACAAGCACUGUUUGAAACGCGUAAGUCGGACGGACGGUAGAUGUCGAAGGAUAAAUAGAGCAACCAAU